GAAUAAAGUAGGCCUUCUAUCACAGGGAUCAUAGCUAUUCAGCAUCAUGAUCAGUUCAGCUAUCGCUGCCAUUCUAGUGAGCGACGACAUCAUACUUCAAAUUUUGCUGGUACACGAUCGUUUUCUGUGACACCAAUACCACCCUGGACACUGGAGGGGGGUUUUUCUGUGAAGCACGCAUGCACAGCUCUGAGUUUGCAACUUCCACUGGAGAAUAUGUUGAAGAUCCGAUUACUUUGCAACGUACCUUUCCUGGGAAUUUUGUGUGCUGUUUCUGUGUGCAGCUCUGGCGAAUAUGACAGAAAUGUGGCACAAACGACGACGCACCGGGGUGGUAACGUUACCUUCCGAUGUCCUUUCCCUUUCCAUCUCAAACAUUCGGCGGUAUUCGCUUACUGGUGGAAAGACGGUAACGAGACUUUCCUGCAAGCAAACGGCAGAAAAAGUCUCGAUGUGAGGAGAGGCGGCGCCUACCUUCAUGUUCUGAAUGUGACUGUUGCAGAUGUUGGAAUAUAUUACUGUGUCAUCAAAUAUCAUCAUCAAACAGUUGUGAAAGGAACCGGAUUCCGACUUCUUGUAUAUACUGCUCCUGUACCCCUGAAGAUUGUCUCUACAUCAUUCCAAAAGUCUUCAUCUACCUUUUUGAGACUCCAGUGUCAAACGGCUAAGUUUCACCCUAAGGAAUUCAAUGUUACCUGGCAUAAAAACGGCACUAGAAUUCUGACAGGAAUUACAACUGUACAGCGGGAAAUGGCAAACGGACUGUAUGAAGUCAUCAGUUCCAUAGAAGAGGCACAGCCAAUUGAGCAUGGCACAGUUUACACCUGUCAAGUCUAUCACAUUUCUAUCACUGCUCCAGGAAAUUGCAGUUACAUUGUCGACAACGAUUGCACUGAUUCCCAUAUAGUCCCACUGGGCACAAACUUCCAAUCAGAAAAAAGUCCCUACAACCCUCACACUCUGCUUCCAGCCGUUCAGGCAAUUGUGGAUCCGGCCUGA